rnacentral:ncRNA from 1 species
UAUGAUUUAGGAAAUUUUUUUUUAAUUUAUUUUACAUAUAAAUUUUAUUAUAGAUAUUUAAUUAUUUAAAUAAUAAUUAAUAUCAUUUUGUAGUAAUUAGCAUUAAAAAUUUAAGAAAUUAAGAUUUAGUAAUAUAAAAAUUAAUAACAAAUUUUGUGCCAGCAGUUGCGGUUAAACAAAAGUUAAAUUAAAUUUUAUUAGAAAUUAAUAAAUAAUUAAAAUUUAAUUUAAAUAUUAAAUUAUUAGGUGAAAUUUUAAUUUAAUUAAAAAUUAUAAGAUAAAAUAUGAUUUAAUAAAUUUUAUUAUAAACUAGGAUUAGAUACCCUAUUAUUAAAAAUUUAAAUUAAAAUACUAAAAUAGUAUAUAAUUAUUUAUUGAAACUUAAAUAAUUUGGCGGUAUUUUAGUUCAUUUAGAGGAAUCUGUUUAUUAAUUGAUAGUCCACGAAUAAUUUUACUUAAUUAAAAAUUUUGUAUAUCGUUGUUAAAAAAAUAUUUUUAAAUAAAUUUAAUAUUUAAAAAUUUUAAAUAUAAAUUAAAUCAGAUCAAGAUGCAGAUUAUAAUUAAGAAUAUAAUGGAUUACAAUAAAUUUAUUUAUAUGAAUAUUUAAUUGAAAAAUUAAAUUAAAAGUGGAUUUAAAUGUAAUUUUAUUUAAUUUAUUAAAAUGAUUAAAAAUUAAAAUAUGUACAUAUUGCCCGUCGCUUUCAUUAAUAAAUUGAAAUAAGUCGUAACAAAGUAGAGGUACUGGAAAGUGUUUCUAGAAAGAC